GAUGAACGCUGGCGGCGUGCCUAAUACAUGCAAGUCGAGCGAAGCGGGGACGGGUGAGUAACACGUGGAUAACCUCCUAUAAGACUGGGAUAACUUCGGGAAACCGGAGCUAAACCGGAAACUUAUAGAUGGAUCCUCGCUGCAUUAGCUAUUGGGUAAGGAAAAGGCUUACCAAGGACACGAUGCAUAGCCGACCUGAGAGGGUGAUCGGCCACCCUGUAACUGAGACACGGUCCAGGCUCCUACGGGAGGCAGAGGUAGGGAAUCUUCCGCAAUGGGCGAAAGCCUGACGGAGCAACGCCGCGUGAGUGAUGAAGGUCGUGGGAUCGAAAGACUCUUUUAUUAGGGAAGCGGUACCUAAUCAGAAAGCCACGGCUAACUACGUGCCAGCAGCCGCGGUAAUUC
rnacentral:rRNA from 1 species